ensembl:lncRNA
CUGCAGCCUACCAGACUCCUCCAUCCGUGGGAUUUUCCAGCCCACCAGGUUCCUCUGUCCAUGUGAUUCUCCAGGCAAGAAUACUGGAGCGUGUUGCCAUGCCUUCCUCCAGGGGAUUUUCCCACCCCAGGGAUCGAACCAUGUCUCCUACGUCUCCUGCACCGUCCGGCUGCCACUCUGGACUUGGGCACAAGAUUUGCUGUGGCCCUUGACCCCUGAGUCAGUCUCACACUGCGGAAAGAAGCAGCAGCUUGGAGCUAGAAGAUCUCAAUUCCAGACCAGUUCCACCCACUCUCUGAGGCUUAGUUUCCUCCCGAGGAUCAAUGAGAUGAAAGUGCUGUGUGAAGCAAUAUUAACUAUAAGGAAUAAUAUUCUACGGAGUUCAUCUCUUCAAUUAACCUGUGGAUCCCUAAUUACCCACAUGUAUUUUGCAAGUAAAAUCCAACUUUUUCAAGUAGCAUAUUCACCAUAUGCAACUGAAAUAUGCAAGCCGGGUUAUGCAAAUGGAAAAAGAAUACAGAUUUAAGUAAGCCUAUUACUCACAGGAG